rnacentral:rRNA from 1 species
AGAGUUUGAUCCUGGCUCAGAGUGAACGCUGGCGGCGUGCCUAAUACAUGCAAGUCGAACGAUGAAGCUUCUAGCUUGCUAGAAUGCUGAUUAGUGGCGCACGGGUGAGUAACGCAUAGGUCAUGUGCCUCUUAGUUUGGGAUAGCCAUUGGAAACGAUGAUUAAUACCAGAUACUCCCUACGGGGGAAAGAUUUAUCGCUAAGAGAUCAGCCUAUGUCCUAUCAGCUUGUUGGUAAGGUAAUGGCUUACCAAGGCUAUGACGGGUAUCCGGCCUGAGAGGGUGAACGGACACACUGGAACUGAGACACGGUCCAGACUCCUACGGGAGGCAGCAGUAGGGAAUAUUGCUCAAUGGGGGAAACCCUGAAGCAGCAACGCCGCGUGGAGGAUGAAGGUUUUAGGAUUGUAAACUCCUUUUGUUAGAGAAGAUAAUGACGGUAUCUAACGAAUAAGCACCGGCUAACUCCGUGCCAGCAGCCGCGGUAAUACGGAGGGUGCAAGCGUUACUCGGAAUCACUGGGCGUAAAGAGCGCGUAGGCGGGAUAGUCAGUCAGGUGUGAAAUCCUAUGGCUUAACCAUAGAACUGCAUUUGAAACUACUAUUCUAGAGUGUGGGAGAGGUAGGUGGAAUUCUUGGUGUAGGGGUAAAAUCCGUAGAGAUCAAGAGGAAUACUCAUUGCGAAGGCGACCUGCUGGAACAUUACUGACGCUGAUUGCGCGAAAGCGUGGGGAGCAAACAGGAUUAGAUACCCUGGUAGUCCACGCCCUAAACGAUGGAUGCUAGUUGUUGGAGGGCUUAGUCUCUCCAGUAAUGCAGCUAACGCAUUAAGCAUCCCGCCUGGGGAGUACGGUCGCAAGAUUAAAACUCAAAGGAAUAGACGGGGACCCGCACAAGCGGUGGAGCAUGUGGUUUAAUUCGAAGAUACACGAAGAACCUUACCUAGGCUUGACAUUGAGAGAAUCCGCUAGAAAUAGUGGAGUGUCUAGCUUGCUAGACCUUGAAAACAGGUGCUGCACGGCUGUCGUCAGCUCGUGUCGUGAGAUGUUGGGUUAAGUCCCGCAACGAGCGCAACCCCCUUUCUUAGUUGCUAACAGGUCAUGCUGAGAACUCUAAGGAUACUGCCUCCGUAAGGAGGAGGAAGGUGGGGACGACGUCAAGUCAUCAUGGCCCUUACGCCUAGGGCUACACACGUGCUACAAUGGGGUGCACAAAGAGAAGCAAUACUGCGAAGUGGAGCCAAUCUUCAAAACACCUCUCAGUUCGGAUUGUAGGCUGCAACUCGCCUGCAUGAAGCUGGAAUCGCUAGUAAUCGCAAAUCAGCCAUGUUGCGGUGAAUACGUUCCCGGGUCUUGUACUCACCGCCCGUCACACCAUGGGAGUUGUGUUUGCCUUAAGUCAGGAUGCUAAAUUGGCUACUGCCCACGGCACACACAGCGACUGGGGUGAAGUCGUAACAAGGUAACCGUAGGUGAACCUGCGGUUG